GCUUUCUGAACAACAACGAGAUCAAGGUAGUUAAGACUUGCAGUGAUGUUUAGCUGAUUUAUGAAUGAACAUCACUUUAAGUCUGUGCUAUCUUUCUACUCACUAUCUGCUGAAGAGUA
rnacentral:precursor_RNA from 17 species